AUUUGGAUGGCAGGAGCUCAGAAGCCAGGCAAACAGAUUGGGUAAUGGAUAGGAGACAAGAGCAGCUGACCAGUGGGAAAGCCUCUUAUCAACUUUUUUCUACAGGGGAGCCGUGUGAAAUGGAGACAGCCACCCUGGGGAGUGGUGGAGGCUGUUCUUCUUACUGAAGAACAAGUAAGGCAUCUCCCUGUGGAGGCGGGGGAAGUGCUCAGAGUGCAGGAUGUUAUGGGCUCACCACUGGAACAAGUGACAAUGAGUUUAACCAGUUAUCACAAAGUCUUCCAAAACCAGCCACUGAACGGAGGGUCUCCACAACUUGGGAAGGAGAAGAAACAGGUUAAGAGACAAAGACAUAAGUGCCUCUCUUAGACCACAACUCUGUCUUGUGCUUAUUACCUGCAAAGAAAUCCUUCCUCCUUAGUUCCAGUUCUAUUUAAGUUAACUAGACAUCAAAACCUUUCCCUUUGAUAGUUUGUGAAUAUUUUAAGAGAACAUCUGUUGACACUUAAAGUGAAUAAAAACAAAAGGAGCAGCCCAGUCGUGAAAAGCUAUAAAAACAUAAUUGACAGUUGAGCUCAUAUGUCACCAAGGAAGCUGAAAUUUACUGGACUCAUGUUUAGAUAGUAGAAACACACUAACGGUAAUAGUAGUAGUUGUUGCUGUAAUAAUAAUAGCAAUAAUAAAAACAUGUCAGUAACUGCUGAACAUCUCUGCUAUGGUUCAGAGAUUUGUGGCUGGGCAGGUCUGGAUGGGGUCAGUUAUCUGGACUUGCCUGUGCUUUUCUAGCUUUCUUUCCACUGUGUUAUAAUCCACCUUCAGCACAGGAUCUGGUAUAGUUUACACUACUGUGCUAAAAAAAUGUGAUUGUCAAUGUGAUGCUUGUUUUAGGGGAGGUGACCAAGAGCAGAUGCUGACACCAGGGAAAGACCAGAGGGAACUGGAGGGGUGAUGGCCAAAAGGCCCAAUUCCCUGGACUGCUGAUUUUGGAGAACCUUGCCCGGUCUUUGGAAUAGGCCAAGUUGAACAAGUCAGACCUGAAACUUCACGAACUCUCCAAGUUGAGUUCUUGGGCCGAGCAUUUAUAUUUAAUUGUGUGUUGUCACCAGUCAUCUGCUGCUCCAAGAAUACAGAACACUGCUUCCAAAGCAGAUACCUUUUUUGGAGCUGCACUUCCCGAAUCUUGACAACUAGAGUCAAAACGGCGCCUGGCAGCAUAGCUGACAACUGCACACAGGCGAGUGGUUGGAAUCACUCGACUCAAAGAUCUGGAAAGCUUCCACCUCCCUGCAUGCCUCUGUGGAAAGAGACAGGUUGGUGUGGCUGCCACAAUGAACCCACACACCAUUUGCAUCUGGCUGGACGUCCACCGGGUAGAGACGACAGCUCUGCUUAUGAAUCCCAACCUUCUCCUUUCUGCAUAUCCUAAGCUAUCCCCAAGUCCCUUGAAGCCCACCAGAAGAUGCCCACACAAAGGCCUUUCUGCCCACAAGAGCUCUUCCCUGUUGCUUUGCCUUCCUUUCUUUUUCACAUCUUGAUAAACCCUUCUCAUCUCAUAUUUAUCAAAUGCAAUCACAAAGGGACCACUUAAUUAACAGGCUGCCGUUAUGUGGAAGAUGAGUUGGAAGCUUAAAACCAUUUAAGAAACCUCACACUGUUCCAGACGACAAAAACAGUGGGACACGCCAUCUGGGAGGGAGCUUCCGCCGAAGUAGGUGCCAGCAUUUCCAUGAUUAAGAACCUAAUAUACCAUCAUAGUACGUGGUGCCAUUUGGUUAGAAGAGACAGCCUUGUGAGCGAGUGUUCUUAGGUCUGGCUUGCUUGGAUGCAGCCAAAUCACUCAGCACCAAAAUAUUUGCUCUGGCAAGCGGCCUCAGUUUAUACGGCUCUUGUGUCUAUUCUACAAUAGACUCUAUGUGGGCUGGGUACAUUGAAAGAGCUCAAUUAAAACUUGCUGAGGCAUUUGUUGGCUGUGACUGGCAUAUGUUGAUGGUAUGGUCGGUCUGUGCUAUGAAGAUUUACCUGACUGCAGGUAAAUCAACAGUUUGUUACGAGGCUAAUUGAUUUUUGACAUGAGGACCAGAAAAUUGUUUCAGAACAAAACACCAGACUUGGCCCUCUACCAUCCUUAAUCCUAUCUCCACUACUUUAUCCUUUAACUUAUUCUAUUGAGCACUGACUAUGUGCCAGGUAUUUCAUCCUCCAUCCAUAGGAGGAUGAAAUAAUAAAGAUUAUAUAGUAACUUCCUGGGAGAACUUA
ensembl:lncRNA